GACGAACUCUGGCGGCGUGCUUAACACAUGCAAGUCGAGCGGGGAUUAGUGAGGUGCUUGCACUGAUCUAAUUCUAGCGGCGGACGGGUGAGUAACGCGUGAGCAAUCUGUCCCAUACAGGGGGAUAACACUUGGAAACAGGUGCUAAUACCGCAUAAGACCACGAGGUCGCAUGGCCACGGGGUAAAAGAUUUAUCGGUAUGGGGUGAGCUCGCGUCCCAUUAGCUAGUUGGUGAGGUAACGGCCCACCAAGGCGACGAUGGGUAGCCGACCUGAGAGGGUGAUCGGCCACAUUGGAACUGAGACACGGUCCAGACUCCUACGGGAGGCAGCAGUGGGGAAUAUUGGGCAAUGGGCGCAAGCCUGACCCAGCAACGCCGCGUGAAGGAAGAAGGUUUUCGGAUUGUAAACUUCUGUCCUCAGUGACGAACACAAUGACGGUAACUGAGGAGGAAGCCCCGGCUAACUACGUGCCAGCCGCCGCAGUAACAC
rnacentral:rRNA from 1 species